rnacentral:rRNA from 1 species
GUACCUUUUGCAUAAUGAGCCAGCGAGUUACGAUUUCGUGGCAAGGUUAAGCCGUCAGGUGUAGCCGUAGGGAAACCGAGUCUUAAAAGGGCGACAGUCACGGGAUGUAGACCCGAAGCCAGGUGAUCUACCCAUGUCCAGGGUGAAGCGUUGGUAACACUUCGUGGAGGCCCGAACCCACCAAGGUUGAAAACUUGGGGGAUGAGCUGUGGGUAGGAGUGAAAGGCUAAUCAAACUCGGAAAUAGCUGGUUCUCCCCGAAAGAUAUUUACGUAUCGCGUUACAUAGCGCUGCCGGGGGUAGAGCACUGACAGGGCUAGGGGGCUUCGCCGCUUACCAAACCCUUUCAAACUCCGAAUACCGAGAAGUACAGCAUAGGAGACACACAGCGGGUGCUAACGUCCGUUGUGGAAAGGGAAACAACCCAGACCGUCAGCUAAGGUCCCAAAGUUGUAGCUAAGUGGGAAACGAAGUGGGAAAACACAGACAGCCAGGAGGUUGGCUUAGAAGCAGCCAUCCUUUAAAGAAAGCGUAAUAGCUCACUGGUCGAGUCGGCCUGCGCGGAAAAUGUAACGGGGCUAAGCUACACACCGAAGCUACGGGUUCUAGUUUAUAGCUAGAGCGGUAGAGGAGCGUUCUGUAGGCUGUUGAAGGCGUGUUGAGAAGCACGUUGGAGGUAUCAGAAGUGCGAAUGCUGACAUGAGUAACGAUAAUGCGAGUGAAAACCUCGCACGCCGAAAGUCCAAGGUUUCCUGCUCUACGCUAAUCGUAGCAGGGUUAGUCGAUCCCUAAGGUGAGGCUGAAAAGCGUAAUCGAUGGACAUCAGGUUAAUAUUCCUGAACUGAUAAAUAACUUCGAUGGGGUGACGGAGAAGGCUAGGCCAGCUGCCAGUUGGUUUUGGUAGUUUAAACAAGUAGGAGGUUAGCUUAGGAAAAUCCGGGUUAACAUUACUCUGAGAUGUGAUGACGAUCUCUCGUAAGAGAGGGUAGUGGUUGAUGCCAUGCUUCCAGGAAAAACCUCUAAGAUAUAGGUGUUUGUCAAUCGUACCGCAAACCGACACAGGUGGACAGGUAGAGAAUACUGAGGCGUUGAGAGAACUCGGGUGAAGGAACUCGGCAAAAUGGCACCGUAACUUCGGGAGAAGGUGCGCCGCUGAAUGUGAUAAUUCCUUGCGGAUUUGAGCUUUUAGCGGUCGAAGAUACCAGGUGGCUGCGACUGUUUAUUAAAAACACAGCACUCUGCAAACUUGCAAAAGGAAGUAUAGGGUGUGACGCCUGCCCGGUGCCGGAAGGUUAAUUGAUGGGGUUAGUCUCUGACGAAGCUCCUGAUCGAAGCCCCGGUAAACGGCGGCCGUAACUAUAACGGUCCUAAGGUAGCGAAAUUCCUUGUCGGGUAAGUUCCGACCUGCACGAAUGGCGUAACGAUGGCCACACUGUCUCCACCCGAGACUCAGUGAAAUUGAAAUCGCUGUUAAGAUGCAGUGUACCCGCACCAAGACGGAAAGACCCCGUGCACCUUUACUACAGCUUCACACUGGACUUUGAACCUAUCUGUGUAG